GGGUAGUUAGUUGAGUGGCACAACACCCGUUUAGCAUACGGGAGGCCAAGGGUUCGAUUCCCUUACUAUCCA